rnacentral:rRNA from 1 species
UACAGAGGUCUCAAGCGUUGUUCGGAUUCAUUGGGCGUAAAGGGUGCGUAGGCGGCGCGGUAAGUCGGGUGUGAAAUCUCGGGGCUUAACUCGGAAAGGUCAACUGAUACUGUGCGACUAGAGUGCGGAAGGGGCAACUGGAAUUCUCGGUGUAGCGGUGAAAUGCGUAGAUAUCGAGAGGAACACCCGCGGCGAAGGCGGGUUGCUGGGCCGACACUGACGCUGAUGCGCGAAAGCCAGGGGAGCGAACGGG